CCUACGGGAGGCAGCAGUGAGGAAUAUUGGUCAAUGGACGAGAGUCUGAACCAGCCAAGCAGCGUGAAGGAUGAUUGCCCUAUGGGUUGUAAACUUCUUUUAUAUGGGAAUAAAAUGUUCCACGUGUGGGAUUCUGUAUGUCCCAUAUGAAUAAGGAUCGGUUAACUCCGUGCAAGAAGCGGCGGUAAUCCGGAGGAUCCGAGAGUUAUCCGGUUUUAUUGGGUUUAAGGGGAGCGUGGGUGGAUUGUGAAGUCGGUGGUGAAGGUUUGCGGCUCAACCGUAGAAUUGCCGUUGAUACUGGCAGGCUGGAGUGCAGAAGAGGUGGGCGGAAUUCGUGGUGUAGCGGUGAAAUGCUUAGAUAUCACAAAGAACACCGAUUGCGAAGGCAGUUCACUGGACUGCAACUGACACUGAGGCACGAAAGUGUGGGUAUCAAACAGGAUUAGAUACCCCAGUAGUC
rnacentral:rRNA from 1 species